GGUUAAUAGAUUCCACACUACUCUGAAGACAUUAUUUCUGGUUUUUAUUUUUCUCAUUUUAAGAAUUUUCCCAGUACUAAAAUUAGCAAUGGCUCUAACAAUACCCACAUCACAGUUGCAGAGAAGCCUUGGGUCUUGAUGGAGCUGCUCUCCCUAUGACAUGCCUCUCUUUGAGUGCCAGUGAUGCAGAGGCCAGAGCUCAAGACAGUAGAAGCAGUCACCAAGGUCCAGCACAGGUUCUCAGGAAUCCCAACCCUGUCUUGAUAACAGGUGCUAAGGAGAUGCAGAAUGAGUCAGGACACGCAGAAUGGGAAAGAAAGAGGUAAACAAAAAGACAUCAAAACACAAGAGGCCAGAAAAG
rnacentral:lncRNA from 1 species